CCUACGGGAGGCAGCAGUGGGGAAUAUUGCACAAUGGGGGAAACCCUGAUGCAGCGACGCCGCGUGAGUGAAGAAGUACUUCGUUAUGUUAAGCUCUAUCUGCAGGGAAGAAAAUGAUGGUACCUGAGUAAGAAGCCCUGGCUAACUACGUGCCAGCAGCCGCGGUAAUACGUAGGCGGCAAGCGUUAUACGGAUUUACUGGGUGUAAAGGGAGCGUAGACGGCAGUGCAAGUCUGGAGUGAAAGGCUGGGGCUCAACCCCCGUACUGCUCUUGAAACUGUACGGCUGGAGUGCAGUAGAGGUAAGUGGAAUUCCUAGUGUAGCGGUGAAAUGCGUAGAUAUUAGGAAGAACACCAGUGGCGAAGGCGGCUUACUGGACUGUAACUGACGUUGAGGCUCGAAAGCGUGGGGAGCAAACAGGAUUAGAUACCCGAGUAGUC
rnacentral:rRNA from 1 species